GAAACGCGCGUUGCAUCUCUCAUGCGGGGAAAUGAAAUCCAAAAAAUUAAAAACCAUGCUUUGUUUCCACCGGCUGAAAACUCUAGCUCGUCCAUGUCGAAAACCCGCUUUCUUUCUGUCUUCUCUCUUGAUUCUCAAACGUCCACCGAUUCACUUCUCCACAUCGUGCUCAAAGUAGCCGCUCAAGUACUCGACAGUGGUCCACGUGUCACAUACAUCGGCGAAGGCGGUUCCAGCAAUUUCGUCAAAAUGGUCCACAACAGAAUCGAUUAUGGCGACAUGUAGCUGAUUUCCGAAGCAUACAACAUGUUGAAUCCGUUGGGAAACUCUUGAACAAGGAACUACACAAAGUGUUCUCAGAAUGGAUUCUAGGGGAUCUUCAAAGCUUCUUGAUUGAAAUCAUCGCAAACAUCUUCGAAAUCAAGGACGACAAGGGAGACGAAUAUCUAGUCGACAAAGUGUUGGAUAAAACAUGCAUGGAAGAGACCAGAAAAUGGACCGUCCAACAAGCGGCGGACCUAUCAAUCGUUGCCCCCACAAUCGCGGCGUCUCUGGAUUCGUGAUUCCUGAGCGGAUUAAAAGACGAACGUGUUGAAGCUGCUAAGAUCUUUAAAUAUGGUGGGUUCGGUGUUUUGGACACUCAAAAUGUGGAUAAACGAUAAACCGGUUCUUUCACGCUGUCAACAAACAUUCUAUCGGGGACAUGACUACUUCGAAAUUCACCUAGAUAUACAUCGAUUCAGCUACAUCUCACGAAAAGCACUUGAUGCAUUCCAGGGACGAUUGAAACAUGGGAUUCUUGGCAUUGGUUUAACGAUUCAGGCACAACAUCCUGAAGAACUACCCGAGCAAGUUUUAUGUUGUGUUAGGCUUAACAAGAUCGACUUUUCUGAUCAUGGUCAAAUCCCAAGAAUUUUAAUACCAAAUAGUGAUUAAUGCUACAGAAAAAUGAGAAUGGUUGUGGAGUAUUUUGAAUUGAGUAGGAAAGGUGCAGCCCUGAUGGAUAUAUUAGCAGAAAUGCCAAAGUUCCCUGAACGUGAGGCAUAUUUAGUUUAGGGUUUUAAUUGAUCUAUUGGUUUAAUAGUUGACCACAUCUUUGAUAAUUGAUGUUGACUUUGAUUAUCUAUUUGAAGUCCUCAUUGAUUAAGAAAGCAAAAGACACUGAAGUUGAUACGGCAGAGCUAACCUGAUACUGUAGAGCUAAGUCCUCAUUAAUACUCCAGAACUUGGUAUGGUUAAAAUCCCCACCGUUGACCAUAAUUUUGUGAGUGUCUUGGAAAAGGACUAUUAUACCCUUUCUGCAGGUAGGAAGCUAAUCAUUUUGCAGAUCUUAUGUUAUGGUGCCCUGGAUUCUGCAGAACUAAGGGCAGAAAUAGACAAUCGUGAAGAAUUUGAAGUGGGACCAGAUCCAGAUGCAGUUCUUGCAUUCACUGAACCUGUAAAAGACACACCUAUAAAAAGACGAGGUCUCCCUCCUAAAACCCCUUUACCCAAAGAUCAGGAACCUGUAAAAGAUAUUCCUAUUCCUAGUAUUUAAAACCAAAACCUGUACUCAUUCCGCUAGGAUCACGCAUAACCUAGUAACACAAAACCAAAAAAGGUUAUCUUUUUAUGAUUUUCCCAAAAUACCCUUUAAUUAAUUAACUAAUUAAUGAUGUUAAAUUCGGAAGCUAACCUUGCAGAAAGGGAUAUUACCACAGAUGAUGCUUAAGCAUGUUGCUCGACUAGAUUCUUGUAAUGAGGUCAUCUGAUUUAUUCUUUCCUAUUUUUCUUCUCUUCUAUCUGUUCUUGAAGUAUUUAAAUACACUUCUUGCUUUUCAUUUCUGAUGUUAGAUUGCUUAUGUGAAACAUAAGAGUUCUCAAUUUUAGCAAUUUGGGUAUCUGAAAUUCUUGAAAUUUGUUGUGAUUUUACUCUAGAUUCUUGUAAUGAGGUCAUCUGAUUGAUGGUUUCACUGGCACUGCAUGUCUACUUAGAGCUAAAGGCGUAUUAAGUUCUUCAUUCAGAUCGGGCUCAUUAUCAGGUUGAGUAUAUGAAGGUUGAAUGUUUGAUUGUACAACAUGUCACGUUGUCCUUCAUACCUUCUCAAGUAUAACUUACUUUCAUUAUCAACUCUACAGUAGAUCCAGGAAUUCGAGGAGGUUAUCUUGCCUUCACUUCUCAGGACUCGCCUGGUGUACUUCAUUUGAAAAAAUUAUCAGAUGCUGGCCUCACACAUAAUUUGGAAGUCUGUAGAUAUGGAGAUGCUCAAAUCUCUGCCACCAGAUUCACCUGAGCAACAGGAGUACAUCACAGCCAUCCAAAAUGAGGAUGGAUACAACUGGGGAUUGUACAAUUGACAGCAUCCGGAAAAUUUGAAGAAGCUUUGGCAUUGUUUAAGCUACUUGCACCAGAAGAUUCAAACCUUCGAGCCUCAAAGUAGCAGUCAAUUCAUAUCAGAUGACAUGGACACUUCUUCACCUUCUCAUACAGUGAAGAGGUUAUAUCAGAUGUUGUUGGACACACCCAUGAAAGCAAUCGAUCCAAAAGAUCAAACAAGGGGAGAGUCAACAUGCCCCUUGACUCAGGUGCUAGAGAGAUGGCAUCAAUAUUAGAGAGAUGGGAUCUCUGGGAAUCUUCAAAAGGAAAUGGGGGUUCUAGAAGCAAUUUGUAUAAGCUGUACAGGGUACCCUACCAACAAUGCUUUUGCUGAUUUUGUUAAGCAAUUUGGUCUUCUAGUUCCCGAAUUUUUAAGAUCAAAUUCAAUCGUCGCCAUUGAUCCAAGUCGACCUCGAUCUAGAUUAAGGUCAUCGUGGGUUGUUAGUUUUAUAGGAAUGCAUAACCCAGGUUAGCAAUGUAUUAUUUUUGUUUAACAUUUGAAUGAUCAUUUGUAUGACAUAUUAUAAUUUGUGCAAUUUAUUUUGUUUUUUGUGUA